AACGAACGCUGGCGGCAGGCUUAACACAUGCAAGUCGAACGCACUCUUCGGAGUGAGUGGCAGACGGGUGAGUAACGCGUGGGAAUCUACCCAGUCCGUCGGAAUAGCUCCUGGAAACGGGAAUUAAUACCGGAUACGCCCUUUUGGGGAAAGAUUUGUCGGGAUUGGAUGAGCCCGCGUAAGAUUAGCUAGUUGGUGGGGUAAUGGCCUACCAAGGCGACGAUCUUUAGCUGGUCUGAGAGGAUGAUCAGCCACACUGGGACUGAGACACGGCCCAGACUCCUACGGGAGGCAGCAGUGGGGAAUAUUGGACAAUGGGCGCAAGCCUGAUCCAGCCAUGCCGCGUGAGUGAUGAAGGCCUUAGGGUUGUAAAGCUCUUUCACCGGUGAAGAUAAUGACGGUAACCGGAGAAGAAGCCCCGGCUAACUUCGUGCCAGCCGCCGCGGUAA
rnacentral:rRNA from 1 species